ACUCCCAAGGUCUAUUGGAUUUCAGGUACGGGUGGUUAGACAAAUAUAAUUAUACUCCACUGUCUUUUAUUUCAAAUUUAGCUCCUCUCUGGUGCUAUGGUUAAUAACAUGUAGUCCGUAUAUAUUAAGGGAAAUACAAUUGAUCUCUUCCUAUCAUGAUUUACUUCGUACUGCUAAAGGACCUUAUAGGAUGAACUUCAUUCAAGUGGUCUCUUUCAGGCAUAAACAGAGGAAGAAUAUACUUUUAUGUAACUACUAAAGUGGUCUCUUUAUGUAACUACUACGGGCGGCCCUACCCUAAGCAGGUAAAGCAACUGAUUUAGGCUUUAUAUUUGUGGGAUGCCCCAUUUUUUGUUACACCUGAUAUAUUAUAUGCUUUAUAUGUUUCAAUUUAGAUGAGUUUGUUUGACUCGCCACGAAGUUUAAGAAAAAAAAAAGACUUUUAAAACUUGUGGCUUUAAAAGCUUAAAGGGUAAAAGGAUUUGCAACUAGUAUGAUUACUGCCAAGGAAAUUGCAUUUGAAAUGAAAAUCAAACCUGAACUUCGUAAGAAACGUGUGAUAUAAAGAAAAAAUAAUAAUUUGACGAGAAUAUAGAUAUUGAAAUCUUAAAAUCUCUCGAAGAGCCCCUUAGAGUUAAGUUAUUUUUAAUACAUAGUAGACAAGAUUUUCACUUCAAAAUCAAUUUGAAUAAUUCCAACCAUAUGAAAAUAUUUUUUGUUUUCUAUUUAGCGUAAAAACUUGAGAUCACUAGAUGAUGAAAAUUUAGAAAAAUACUGCCUUAAUCUUGAGUAUUCCUUGAAACAUAAUUAUCAAUCUGAUAUGAUGAUGGUUUAGAUUUAUUUUUUAAAUUAAAAGUAUUAAGGAAAAUAGUACAACUAGAAGAUAACAGUUUAAUUGAUAUACUGAAUCAAAUAAAAAGAUUUGAUUCUUUUUCAAAUGCUUAUAUUGCUUAUAGAAUAAUGUUAAUAACUCAUGUUACUGUAAAAAUUGAUAAAAUCUUAACUAAGCUCAAUAAUGUCCGAAGAGAUAACUAUAAUGUCAAUUGAGAAAGAAUUGUUCUAAAAAAAUUAUUAAUAACUUUGCGUCUAAAAAAAUUAGAAAAAUGGAUUUCAAUUUAAAAAAAUAAUAAUUUUAAAGAUAAAUUAAAGCCCUCGUAAAAUUUGGCUUUAGGUCACAAAAUUCGUCGGGCCGCCUGGUAACUACUGACUAGAAGUGGCAUGAUUUAUUGGUUCUUAACUGUUGUUUUGUGUAAUUAUCAAGCUGGUGACUUAGAUUGUAUAGCCUGUUGUACUUGAUAAGGUAGUUUGAUAAGUUGGAGAAUUUUUGUAUCUCCUGCUAUCUUUUGCGAGGUAAGGGCGCUAUGCCACUAUGUCCUCCUUAUAUGAUGUAUAUUUUGCUGGAGUGAAUGAAAGGGCUACGCUACCAUACGGUGUAAUUAUAUUUAAAAAAAUAAUUUAAUUUGCAGUAGUAUCAGAUAGUUGGGUGAAAAUCCAUAACGGAGCUUGCUCUGAAUUUAUACUAGUUAAAUAUAAUAUUGAGUACAUUAUUCAUACCACUUAUUGCUUUCUAACUUAUUACUUGGAAGGGGAGGCAAAAAAGAAAAAAUAAAUUAAAGGGGGCGGGUAUACUUUUUUUUUGGGGGUGGGGAUGCGAUUUUUCUAAGUAAAAAAAAAGAGGGUGUGUGGCUAAGCUUAUAAGUUGGUCAAACUAACUUAUAAGUUUUUUUUAGUUUAUCUAUGCAUUUGGUAAAAUCAAAAGUGAUUAUAAGCCAAAAUAAGCCAUAAGUCAUAGGUUGGUCACCCCCAACUUAUCAAAUUUCAGCUUAUAAGCACUUUAGAGUUUGACCAAAUAUUUUACUAUUUUGUCCCUAGUAUUAUAGUAUCAUAAUUCCUGAAAUAUACUUUAUAAAAUAAUAUUAAUCCUGACCCUCUUCUUAACGUCUUUCUUUUACCUUUUUCACGUCUUUUCUCCAAAUUCAGUAACCCUGCGGCCAUCAUCAAGAAACUAUAUUCAAGUUUUGAAGCUUUUCUAUGUCAAAACUCAAAAGCAAGUGAGAAAGCUGCUCGUUUAUAAAUCACUCUUGUUUCGUAAUGAAAUUGUUUGCAUUGUUUCUUGCAUACCGAACUUUUGCUUGCAACUCGUGAUUACAUUGCUGCGAAUUUAUGAUAGUUGGAUGUAUUAAUCUAAUUAACAACAAUCAAGCUUUCAUUAAUUGCAUAUUAUUUUAUACAAAUAUUUUAUGUACUUUUUAAGUAUGUUUUACUCACAAACUUUAGUAAAAACAUUAAUUAUUAUAUUAAAGAUUAUGAUUGUUGUUUAACUUUUCAUAAAAUAAUUUAUAUUUGUAAAAAUCAAUUUUGUGUUAAAAGUACAAUGAGACACAAAUUAUUUUAUAUUUGAAUCAACUUUUAAUUUAAAAUCUUGUAAAAAUUACGUUCUUAUUAUGAUAAAUAACUUUAAGGGCAUUUAAGUUAUUUUAACAGAAAAAAUACUUAUCAUCACUUUUUCCCCAAAUAUUUCAGCUGCUUAUUAUUAGUUUCAGCACUUUUAUUCAAACACAUAACUACUUAUUCAUUAAAUCAGCUUCAACACUUAUAAGUAUUUUUAAACACUUAAUGCUUAUAAGCUAAGCCAAACGGGCUCUAAGCAUAUUCAUACUAGUUACUUUUAUAACAUUUAUUACUCUAUCUUUAAGGUUAUCUAAGCCAGAAAAUAUUAUUUACUGGUAGUUCAUUAAUAUUGAACUUUUUCAUUGAGUUUAACAUGCAUAAUUCCUUUCUGGGGACAAUUUGACAGGAAAAAAGGCAGGCACGGACAAUUUCAUACCAUAUAGUGAAUUUAAUACUACAUGAAAAAACCGCAUAUAGAAACGCGUAAACUUCUAUUAUUUCCUAUAAAGAUUUUCAAAAAAGUAAAUUAUACAGGUUAACUUUUUUAGGUUAAUUGUAAGGUAGAACUCUAAGGAAGUGGAAAGUUGAAACUACCACCAUGAUUUUGGCCAAAAGAGUAAAUACCAAUAUUUUAAAAGGUAUCCAAUCUUGUCGUCUAUUUUUAUAAAAAUAAUAUUGCAUGUGAGACUCUUUCGAUCUUUUAAAAAAUAAUAUUUUUCCAUGUCUCGUCACCAGACACGACAUACCCAACAAAGAUAACCAAAUAUAUAAAACGUAGCAAACAUGGGAUGGAAUUGUUUCUCCGGGCGAAGGAAUGUCAAGUUUGUCGUGUUAUUUGGAAAUACAGACAUUCAUUUUAGAGUUUAAAUUAAUUCCUUUACACUCGGUUCAAUUUUUAAUUACACUAUUAAAUCACUUAAUAAUUACAUGUAACUUCUCAUAAAUUAUACUUUUAAAGUCAUUAAUAAACGUUUUAUAUAAUUAUAAAUGAUUAUUAAAUUAAUAGUAUAUUUAACCUGUAACAUGUAAAUACUAGUUCAUCUAAAAUUAUUUAACAAUAACUUUCUAUAAAGCACAGUAAAUAACCUACAAAUCAUAGUAAAUAAUUUAUUACAGCUGCGAAUUAAAUUACCAAUAAUGUAAAAAAGUUAUACUAUCGAUCUAUAUAAUUUAAAUUCCUAAUUUAACUAUACACUAAUAGUGAAAAAAGUGUUAUAUAUUAGGACUCUAAGAGUUUAUCUCAUAUUUGUAGUUAUCUCAUAUAUGUGAUGGACUCUUAAUACUUAUCUUUGUAGGUGAUAUACUUAUCCUAAUGUAUGUAUCCAUAUCAUAUAAAUACAAGUAACAGUGACUCUCUAAUUACUGAGCAAUUUAAUGAAAUCUAUCAUGGUAUCAGAUUAGCCAGCAAAAUCCUCUCUCAUUCCUUCUUCUAAGCAGUCACGUUUUCUUCUAAAUCUUCCCCUCAAUUCCAGUACUUUCCCACACCAUUUUUCUUUACUAUGGCAUCAUCUUCACCCUAUACUUCUAUUCCUAUAUCCAAUCCUCACAACACUAUUCCAUCCUCAAGCCUUACUGUUGCUUUCUCACCUCCCCCUUUAACGUUUUCUCCUCUUAUGUCAUCCCUUUCUUCCAUGGCCUCAUCAGUACCAAGCGAUUUAUCUGCUCCUAGCUUGCUGCCAUGUCCUACUGCUGCUAUUAUGCCACCUAUAUUUCCAUGUGCUGGUUCGUUGGACUUAACUACUGCCUCAAAUUUUCACUCUGUUACUGCACUAGCAGCGCCUAAUGUCACCAACCUGGUAACAAUUAAGUUACAAUCUGUUGAAGAUUAUCUCACAUGGCGUACUCAAUUCACUUCCCUUCUCAUAUCUCAUAAUUUGCUUGGUUUUGUAGAUGGUUCUAUCCCUACUCCACCCCCGCUUCUUUGCGAUGCUACUGUUUCGCAACAACCGAAUCCAAGCUAUCGCUCAUGGGUUUGAAUCAAUCAAAGCGUCCGUUCUUGGAUCUUUGCAACCUUGUCGCGUGAAGUUCUUGUCGACGUCCAUCUUUUACCAUCUUCUCAUAAUAUUUGGCUUUUCUUACACCGUAGAUAUAUGGAUGCUAGCCAAGCUAAAGCAAUUGAACUUAAGAGACAACUCACUACUUUGAAGAAGACGGCAUCUAUGUCAAUUGAUCAAUAUUUGAGAGAAGCAAAACAAUUGGCUGAUUCACUUGCAGCCAUAAAUUCUCCAGUUUCCUCGGAUUUCGUCGAUCAUGUCCUUCUUGGAUUAGAAAAAGAAUACGAUACGCUGGUUGGUAUCCUCACUCACUUCCCUGGACAUGUAUCACUUGAAGCUUUGCAUUCUAAGCUCAUUUUGCAUGAACAACGGUUGCAACGGUUUCAAGAAUCUGAUUCUAUCAUCUCUUAUCAUACAUUUGCUACCCAGAAUGUUCAAUCAAAUUAUUCUAAUAUGUCCAGCAAUGUAGUGCCCUUUUCAAGUAAUCGUGGACGGGGAAGAUCCUCAUCUUUUCGAGGUCGAGGUCGUGGUGGAAGGGGUUGUGGUUUCUCUGGUCGAGGUCCCUCAUAACAGUCUACUCCAAAUAAUCUUGCUCGCAAUGGUCCUACUGGUCAGCCUCCGUCAGGUAUUGGUGGUGCUUCUCUCACUCCUUAUAAUUCACAAUCUGGCAGUACAUUCUCACAAUCCAAUGGGAUCUUAGGUUCUUCACCCUCACCCAUUGCUUGUCAAAUUUGUGGCCAUCCUGGUCACACUGCCUUACAAUGUCAAAAUCGAUUCAAUCAUGCUUUCGUUGCUAAUGAUCUUCCUAAGUCUUUUGCUACUAUGUUUGUUGGUGAAACAAAUGACGCUACUUGGUAUUUUGACACUGCCACGUCCGCUCACAUGACUCCAUCUGAAGGUAAUUUUAUACAAAAGAACCCUUACACUGGCUCUAAUCGUGUUUUGGUAGGAAAUGGUAAAUUGCUUAACAUUGAAAAUAUUGGCUAUGCUCAGUUGCCUUCUACAUCUCGUCCUCUACACUUACAGUCUAUAUUUCAUGUUCCUCAACUUCGCCAUAAUUUGAUUUCUGUUAAAAAGUUAUGUAGGGAUAAUAAUUGUAAAGUUGACUUUGAUGAUUCUUCUGUUUGUGUGAAGCACAAGGUAACGGGGCAACCUCUCCUUUAAGCUUCUAGUAAAGGUGAUGUUUAUCCAUUAUCGUCCUCGUCUGUGACUUCUCCUCCUCAAGCAUUUGUUGCUCUACGUCAAUCCGGAGACAUCUGGCAUCGUCGUUUAGGUCAUAGUGGUAGACGUGUUUUGUCAAGUCUUAGGAACCAUAAUCUUAUUACGCUACAAAAUUCCUUUAGUAAUAAUUGUGUUUCGUGCAAGUUAGGAAAGUCUCAACGUUUGUCCUUUAAUUUAGUUGCUCACCGUAGUUUUUUUCCUUUAGAUAUUAUUCAUUCUGAUGUUUGGAAAUCGCCUAUUUUAUCAAACUUGGGUUUUCGAUAUUAUAUUAUAUUUGUUGACAAUUUUUCUCGAUUUACAUGGCUUUAUCCUAUGAUGAGAAAAUCAGAAAUUUUUCAGCACUUUUGUGCAUUUUAAAAACUCGCGGAGAACACUUUUAACACUAAAAUUAAAACUUUUCAAAGUGAUGGAGGUGGUGAAUUUGAUAAUAAGGCUACGUUUCAACACUUUUCUAACUCAGGUAUUUCUUUUUGUAAAUCAUGCCUAGAUACUCCUGAACAAAAUGGGGUGGCUGAACGAAAAUAUCGCCACAUAAUUGAAAUGGUGCGUACCAUCCUUACAGAUGCUCAUUUGCCAUCUCAAUUUUGGGUUGAUGCUGCUUUUUACGCUAUUUAUACUAUUAAUAGAUUGUCUGCUUCCAUUUUAAAAGGACUUUCUCCAUUUGAAAAGCUUUUUCAUACACCCCCUGACUAUAGUUUCUUCGACUUUUUAGUUGUGAAUAUUUUCUAAAUAUAUCUUCUCAAGUUUCUCAUAAGCUUCAACUAUGUUCUAUCCAAUAUAUUUUCCUAGGUUAUGCUUCUAAUUAUAAAUGAUAUCGUUGCGUAAAUCCUAUAUCUGGUCGUGUUUAUGUCAGUUGUCAUGUUGUCUUUCAUGAAUUAGUUUUUCCAUAUUCUAAACUAUCUCGUCCCUCUACUGUCCCUUCAUCCAAUGGCUCUUCUGAGAUUCUUGUAGUUACUGCUCCUUUAUCCCCUUUGAAGCCCGAUACCCAAUCUAAGUCAAGUAUGUCUCAUUCUACGUCGUCUUCUCCACCUCCCUCUAGUGUUUAUUCCCCGUGCCCUACAUCCAGCUCUGCGGAUCACGUGUCCAUCACCGCUUCUCCUACCGAGUGUUGCUCUAAUGUUCUCUCUUCUUCUGUACCUACCUCACUGCCAACUAGCACUGCUUCUCCUCCUACUUCUAUGCCUCCUGCUCACUCAAUGCACACUCGCUCCAAGUCUGGUAUUUUGAAACCAAAACAAAUAUUUUCUUUGAACACUAUUAUUCAAGAAAUUGAACCCUCUUGUUUUUCUCAGGCAGUAAAAAGUUCGAAGUGGCAGUAGGCCAUGGCAGAUGAGUUUAAUGCACUUUUAGCAAAUAAUACUUGGGUACUUGUUCCUUUUCAACCUCACAUGAACUUAGUUGGUUGUAAAUGGGUUUAUCGUAUUAAAUAUAAUUCGGAUGGGUCAGUUGAGCGAUACAAGGCCUGACUUGUAGCACAGGAUUUCAUCAACAACCUGGCAUUGAUUAUCAUGAAACAUUUAGUCCUGUUGUUCGUGCUACCACUAUUCGCAUUGUUCUCUCUCUUGCCGUUUCUUUUUCUUGGCCUAUUCGUCCACUUGAUGUUAAAAAUGCUUUUCUACAUGGUGUUCUUAAUGAGGAAGUCUUUAUGAAAUAACCUCCAGGUUUUACUCAUCCUGAUUAUCCUCGUCAUGUUUGUAAGCUAACUAAAGCGCUCUAUGGUUUGAAGCAGGCACCACGUGCUUGGUUUUAUCGCUUUAGCUCAUUUCUCAUGGCUCAUGAUUUUAUUUGCAGCAAAUCAGAUACAUCCAUGUUCAUUCACCGUUCAUCAUCUGGUAUUCUUAUUUUGUUACUUUAUGUUGAUGACAUUAUUCCUACUGGUAGUCAUUCUUCUUUUCUUGAUCACUUCAUUAGUCGUCUCUCUAGACAAUUUGCCAUGAAAGACUUAGGUAAUCUUCAUUACUUUCUUGGUGUUCAGGCAAUUUGUUCUUCUAAUGGUCUUCAUCUGUUAUAAUAGAAGUAUAUUUCUGAUUUGCUUCUUAAAUUUCACAUGCAUACAUGCAAACCGGUUCUCACCCCUAUUGCUUCUCGCACUUCUUUUUCUAUUAUGGAUGGUAUUACUUUCAGAUCCUAGUGAAUAUAGGAGUAUGGUUGGCGCUCUUCUAUACUUAACUAUGACUCGCCCAGAUAUUGCCUAUGCUGUUAACAUUGUUUCACAAUUUAUGCAUGCUCCACGUACUACUCAUCUGCAUUGUGUGAAGCGCAUUUUCAGGUAUUUACAGGGUACCAUCACAUAAGGAUUGUUCUUCUGUGCCUCCUCAUCCACCUCUUUUAUAUUGGCCUAUUCGGAUGCUGAUUGGGCUGGUUGUCUUGAUAGUCGACGCUCUACCACAGAGUUUGCAGUAUUUUUAGGCUCUAAUCUUAUCUCAUGGCAUGCAAAGAAGCAACCAACAGUCUUUAAAUCUUCUACAGAGGCUGAGUACAGAGCUAUCGCCUAUACUGUGGCUGAGACAUCUUGGAUUCGUAAUAUUCUUCAUGACAUCGGGCUCUAUCUUCGUAACCCAGUUCAUGUUCUUUGUGAUAAUGUGAGCUCUACAUAUAUGUCUCGUAACCAUGUGUUUCAUGACCGCUCCAAACACAUUGAUGUUGAUUUUCAUUAUGAUCGUGAAAAAGUUGCUCAAGGGGAUCUUGUUGUUCGAUAUGUGCCAACUCGGUUACAAUUUGCAGAUAUUUUCACAAAGGGUUUACCAUCAUCUCAGUUCAGCUUCUUACGUGACAAUCUGUCCGUCAUGUCUGCCAAUCCAGAUUGAGGGAGCGUAUUAGGACUCUAAGAGUUUAUCUCAUAUUUGUAGUUAUUCCAUAUAUGCGAUGGACUCUUAAUACUUAUCUUUGUAGGUGAUAUACUUAUCCCAAUGUAUGUAUCCAUAUCAUAUAAAUACAAGUAAUAGUGACUCUCUAAUUAAUGAGCCAUUUAAUGAAAUCUAUCAAUAUAUAUAUAUAUAUAUAUAUAUAUAUAUAUAUAUAUAUAUAUAUAUAUAUAUAUAUAUAUAUAUAUAUAUAUAUAUAGUAUGUAGUGUAGUGUGAGUUGUGUUAGUUAGUNNNNNNNNNNNNNNNNNNNNNNNNNAAAGUUCAAUUAACUAUAGUAUGGGUAAGUGUGUUGGUUGAGUUAAUUUCAUAAUAUAUUUUGGCUUUCCCAAGAGAAUUAGGGUUAAGUAAAAGUUCCAAAGAGUAUGAGAUUAGGUGAGGUUGUUGGGUGUCCCUUUCUUCAAGAAUCCACAAGGAAUUAUAAUAUGAGAAAAACAUCCAUGCAUGCAUGUAUUCCAAAAUAGUAAACUCCGAGAGCUUAGUUCCAAAAGUGGUUGGGCAAACUAUGGUCCCCUUAUUUUCAUACAAUUUUUUAUAAAGAGCAAAAGAUAGAGAUACCUUUGGUUAUAUAGAUAUGAGAAAAGCUAGCCAAAAUUUCAGAUUGCAUGUGCACCUACUGUUUAUUUAAAUACUCGUGACCUUACUAUUGUAUUGUUUGUGUGCGUACAUUUUGUCGAUUAAAGUGGAUGUUGGCAGUACCAUGUUGGAUAGACAUAUACUGUGGAGGUAAAUAAAAUCUUAAGAUUGGUUUUUCUGUAUAUAAACUUUUUUUUCCAACUUAUAUUUCAAACCUUACAUGAUGUUUACAAAUGGGAUCUGGCCUCAAAGAAUGAAAUUUAUCACUAGAGGCCACCAAUCAAUCUCGGAACUGCGUAUCAAUUUCAGAAUUGCAUAUCAAUCUCAGAGCUACACUGCUUUCUGGAUAUACAGAAAAUUAAAAGUUAAUUAUUUAAAGAAAAACAUUAAUAUAACACGCAACAGAGAGAGAGAAGUACUACUACAGUUACUCUAUUUUAACUAUGGAUACAUAUUCGACGAGGCACAUAGUCGCGCUCCCUCGAAGGGGUGGUAAAAACUUACGUAUGCCCGUUGUUUGCAUAAAACUGUAUCAAGUUACUACAAUUAGGUGUUAAUUGAGGUAAGAAUGAAAAUUAAUUAACAAGUAUUUAGUGAUAAUAGUGUAUAUAAAAAAAUACAUAUUGUUUCUAUACGCGUCAAAAUUAAUAUUGUGUAUGGGUAAAAGUGGAGGCAAUGUUAUCCCGAUUCCCCAAUAAGGAAAUGAGAGGGAAGCACAGUUCGAUGCAACUACAAGGAAUGCGAAGGAUCCCUCGUGUCGGAACUCGAGAAGGGUGAACGAUGCAUCUGGGACCGGGCAUGGCAGAACAACGGACCCGAACCAAGUAAAGUUUCGAGACCACGGGAAAAGGAGAAAUGGUUGGGCAUGACAAGUGGGGAGCUCUAAUAUUUACCCUCAACCGGAUAUUACCGCGAAAAUCCCGUCUAAUUUCAACUGCGGAUCGACAUUUCCCCGAAAAAAAGAUUUUUAUCUUAUUUACACUUGUAUUUGGAUUGAAAUUCUCCUACUAUAUAGAUGAGAGUUUUUAUUUUUAUUUUAACACAUUGUUGACAUGCAUAUCAAAGCAAUAAAAGUUUAUUUUUGUCUUUUAGCUAUUAUUCAAAGUGUUGUCCAUCUAUUCUCUUCUUUAAUUGCAGCUGAGCCUAUAUCGAGGGACCGAUCGAUGCCGAGUUUCAGUGUUCAAUUUAAGAACAUGCUUGAUAGUCAAAUUACGAUUGGUUUGAUCAUUCAUUCUCUCUUUAGUUUAAUUACUUGUUGUUCUUAGAUCAUUCGUAUUAAAUUAAAUCACGUAUCCUUUAAACUGUAGAUAAAUUUAAUUGUCACUCAUUUUUAAGAGUAAAUAGUUUGGCGUCCACCGUGGGUCUAAAGAUAAUAGUGAUGAUUUGAUACAACUCUCCAUAAAACAUCCUGUUUUACGCUUGUCCUUUGAAGUUUUGAAUUCAGGUUAACCUAAGGAUGCCAAAUUCUCAGUCUGCUCACUUGAAUGUGGCGCUGAGUCAGGCCACCACGGCGAGAACAAUAACAUGGUACCUAGCAAUGAUGUGCCCCCUGUUGAUCCCAAUAAUGUCCCAGCCACCGACUCGGCUGAUGCUAACUCAUAGGUUACCAUCAAGAUCAAUCUGCCAGCUAACCUCGAAAAUAGUGUUCGCAGGGCACCACGACCAUCGGCUCAAAAAGCGCCCGAAGGUGAAGGUGAUAGGGUGAGCUUGUAGUUGAUUUUCGAAAUGUUGCAAGCUCAGCAAGUGGCAGUAGCGCAGUUCCAGACCCAAAGUCACGCCCCUAACAGGGUCGACCCAAGCGGACCAGGAAAAACACUAGAAUAGAUAAAUAAGUUGCCGUGGAGCCGGAUGAAUUAGGUCCUGGGGAAACUUCCGAGGUGAUGAAGAUUCUCGAAGCGCUGACAAAGCGGGCGGAGUCUGGAAUGAAAGAGAUAGAGGCCAACGACAAGAAGGUAGAAACUUAUAACUCCAUGGUCGAUCAGAUCCCUAGAGCACCCCCAAUAUUGAAGGGGCCCGACUCCAAAAAGUUCAUUCAGAAGCCUUUCCCCCCGAGCGCGGCACCUAAGCCGAUCCCGAAAAAGUUUUGAAUGUCUGACAUUCCCAAGUAUAAUGGGACCACAGAUCCAAAUAAGUAUGUAACCUCCUAUACAUGCGCAAUCAAGAGGAAUGACCUAGAAGACAAUGAGAUCGAGUCGGUGUUGCUGAAAACAUUUAGGGAAACCUUGUCCAAGGGAGCAAUGAUAUGGUAUUACAACUUACCUCCAAAUUCUAUUGACUCAUUUUCUAUGCUUGCAGAUGCUUUUGUAAAGGCCCAUACCGGCGCCAUCAAGGUCAAAACAAGGAAGUCAGACAUUUUCAAAGUCAAGUAAAGGGUUAACGAGAUGCUUAGGGAGUGGAUAGAUCUGCCCCUGGUCGCGGAUGAUAGGGUCUUUCAGGCAUUUACUCAAGGGCUCAACCCCCGAAGCUCCGUGGCUUCUAACUAAUUAAAGAAAAACUUGGUAGAGUACCCGGUGGUCAUUUGGGCCGACGUCUAUAACAUGUAUCAAUCAAAGAUCAGAGUCGAGGACGACCAACUCAGGGCCCCUUCGGGGUUUAUUUACCCCAACAGAACAAAUGAUAGAUCUAGGAGAAUCAUCGAUCAGGAGACAAGGUCAUUCCAAGAUCGAUACUAGACAUACGGUGCAGAUCGGAGGGAAAAGGGAUCCGGGUACCACCCGACAUGGAACGCCAAGAGAACGAUCAAUGACCGAGCAGUCGGGGCAUGAUGAGCAUAAGUGGUUUUGAUAGUUCACUUGGUUGUAGGGAAGCACCGAGAUUAUCAGAGUAUAAUUUCAACAUAGACGCUGCAAGUAUAGUGUCGGCCAUAGCAUACAUCAAAGAGACCAAGUGGCCUAAACCACUGCAGUUCGAUCUCGCCCAAAGGGAUCAUAGCUUGGUGUGUAAAUACCACUCACAGUCAUAUGACCGAAGAUUGUUGACACUUAAGAGAAGAAGUAGAUUGAUUGUUCAACAAUGGCCACCUUCAGGAAUUUAUAAGCGAACGGGCCAAAAAACACUUCAAAAAUAGGGACGCCAACAAACAGUCGAACAGGAGAAGCCCCAGCACAUGAUUAACAUGAUUAUUGGGGUAGUAGAUUUCUCCCAAGGCUAAUGAUAAAAUGCACCAAAGUUUCUAUCGCGAGGUAAAAACGCACGCGGGAUUACAUUCUGGAAGGGCCAUCUAGUUCAGCAACGAAGACGGAAGGGCAUCAUCCAGCCUACAAUGAUGCACUGGUAAUAUCCCUACUUAUCAACAAAUCUUGGGUUAAAUAUGUGUUGAUUAAUCCAGGUAGCUCAGCCAACAUCAUCUAAUCGAGGGUCAUAGAACAACUGGGAUUACUAAACCAAAUCAUACCAGCGAUUCGAGUAUUGAACAGAUUCAACAUGGCAUGCGAGACCACGAAGGGUGAGAUAAAUUUAAUGGUAAACACUGCUGGGACCACCCAAGAAACAAAGUUCUACGUGAUCAAGAGGGAUAUGAGAUACAACACCUUGUUCGGAAGGCCAUGUGCUCACAGCAUGAGAGCGGGCAAUCAAGAAAAGGCUUCUUUCAUAAUCAAAUUUGGCACCUACUAUUAUAACGUAAUGCCAUUUGGACUAAAGAAUGUUGAUGCCACGUAUUAACGCCUAGUUAAAUGGAUGUUCGAGGAACAAAUAGGGAAAUCAAUGAAAGUUUCUAUUGAUGAUACAUUAGUUAAGUCCCUACGAGCAGAGGACCAUUUGAAACAUUUGCAGGAAACCUUUUACAUAUUGAGGAAGUACAACAUUAGCUAAACCCAGAGAAGUGUGCCUUCAGGGUCAGCUCGGGCAAGUUCCCCGGGUUCAUGGUAUCUAACCGGAAAAUAAAGAUCAACUCAGACAAAAUAAAAGCUAUAGAAAACAUCACCAUAGCUGACAACACUAAGAUAGUACAAAGACUGACUGGGCAAAUAGUCGUGUUGGGCUGGUUUAUUUCGAGAUCGUCGGAUUAGAGCCAUCAGUUUUUCUAAUCAUUGAAAAAGAAGAACGACUUCUCUUAAACUCCGGAAUGCCAUCAAGCUUUAGAAGAGCUCAAGCGAUACCUAUCGAGCCCUCCAUUGUUGCACACUCCGAAGGAGGACGAACAUCUAUACCUCUACUUGGCGGUUUUUCAAUGUGACGUAAGUGGUGUCCUAGUCCAGAAAGAAGAAGGUACAUAAUUUCCUAUUUAUUAUGUUACUCUAACCCUAGGCGAUGCCGAAACAAGAUAUCCAUACUUAGAAAAAUUAGCGCUCGCCUUAUUAAGCGCUUCUAAGAAAUUAAAACCGUACUUACAAUGCCACCCCAUAUGUGUCGUGACCUCGUACCCCCUGAGGAAUGUCAUGCAUAAGCACGAGCUCUCGCGCCUGUUGGCCAAAUGGGUAGUAGAUAUUAGCAGGUAUGACAUUGAGUACAAACCUCAGACUACCAUAAAAUCUUAGAUUUUGGCGGAUUUUGUGACCGACUUUACCCCGGCCUUAGUCCCUGAGGUCGAAAAGGAACUACUGCUCACUUCGGGAAUUAGCUCGGGGAUCUGGACCCUAUUCAUGGACUUCCAAUGCGAAGGGGUCUGGGCUCGACAUCGUAUUAGAACCACCUACAGGUAACGUAAUUAUCCAGUCUAUUAGAACUGUAAAAUUGACUAACAACGAAGCUGAGUAUGAGGCUAUGAUUGCAGGUCUAGAACUGGCUAAGAGCCUGGGAGCCGAAGUGAUCGAGGCCAAAUGUGAUUCCAUCCUUUUCUUAAACCAAGUCAAUGGGACAUUUGAAGUAAAAGAGGAACAGAUGCAGAGGUAUUUGGAUAAGUUGUAGGCUUCCUUACACCAAUUAAAGGAAUAGACUCUACAACACAUACCUUGGAAUCAAAAUAACGAGGCCGAUGCAUCGGCCAACUUGGGGUCAUCGGUCGACUCCGAUGAGCGCGACUCCGAAGAAGUAGUAUAGUUGAUGAACUCGGUGAUAGAAGAAGGUCACGCCGAGGUAAACUUGACAAGCUUGACUUGAGACUGGAGAAACAAAUACAUAGAUUACCCGAAGAAAAGAAAAUUGCCAUCGGACCCCAAGGAGUUAAGAGCCCUACGCACCAAACCUGUCAGGUUUAGCUUGGUUGAGUGGAAAUUGUUCAAAAGAUCCUUUAUUGGGCUGCUAGCUAGGUGCUUGGGUCUGGGGGUUACUGAAUCUGCUAUGAGUUAAGUACACGAGGGUACUUGUGGAAACCACUAAAGAGCAGAAUCCCUGGUUCAAAAAUUGAUUAGAGCAGGUUACUAAUGGAACGAGAUGGAGAAAGAUGCAAAAGACUCCAUUCGAAAAUGCAACGAGUGCCAAAGACACGCCCCAAUGAUUCAUCAACCAGGAGAAAUGCUUCACCUGGUAAUAUCGUCGUGGCUGUUUAUGAAAUGGGGGAUGGACAUCGUCGGUCCCCUUCCAUGCGCGCGUGGUAAAGCCCAAGACAUAUUACUUAUGACCAAUUAUUUCUCCAAGACCAAAACUUAGGCGUUCAAGAAGUUUUGGGAGAAAGAGGUCAUCGACUACAUCUGGGAUCACAUAAUAUGCCGAUUCGGGAUACCGGCCGAAAUCGUUUGUGAUAAUAGAAAGCAGUUUGUCAGCAGCAAGGUAAGUAAGUUUCUCGAAACCAUAGAAUCAAAACGAUCUUAUCAAUACCAUACCACCCUAGUGGGAAUGGACAACCAGAGUUAACGAACAAAACUAUACUCUAAAACUUGAAGAAGAUAUUAAUUGAUUCGAAGGGAAAGUGCAAAGAAAUCUUGCUUGAAAUUUUGUGGCAUAUUGAAUGACUUCGAAGUCAAGUACCAGUGUGACCCCAUUCUUUUUAGUCUGCAGUGCAGAAGCCGUAAUCCCGGUCGAGGUUGAGGAACCAAGCCAAAGGUUCCAGUAUGCUACUGAGAUGUCAAACGGCAAGGCCAUGUCCACAAGUUUGGACUUAUUGGAUGAAAGGCGAGAAGCCUCCCAGGUCCGGUUGGCUGCCCAAAGCAGUAAAUAGGGAGGUACUACAAUCAAAAAGCUAAUCUUCAAAAUUUAAAAGUUGGGGACUUGGUGUUAAGGAAAGUUAUGCUACACACCAAGUAAUCGGUCGACUGUAAAUUUGACAAUUAGGUCUGAAAGCACGUGUUGUACUCUUUUUCUCUGGGACCGAUUUUUCCCGAAGUGGGUUCUACGGCAAGGUUUUUAACAAGGCAAUAGUAAAAGGUGAUAACUUAGUUUCAAAGACCGGCCUGAGGCCAGAAUUGCUGGCCACCCGUACUAGACCAACAGUACUCGAGCCCUCACAAGUUCAGUCUCAGAUACUGGGGGUCGGGGGGGCCAUUACCCCCUAAGUAUGAUCCUUAUAAGGUGUUCUUAUUUGACAUUAAAAUCCAAGGCUCAAUUAUUAUAAUUCAUUGUAAGGGUCAAAUGAUCAAACGAGUCGAACCCGUGUAGCUCAUUCUUGCCAUGGCAGAAAGCUUAUGAGACUCCGAUUAUAUUAUAUAUAUGCAAAGUAAUGAAGGAAAUUUUCCCUUUAUAUUUUAUCAUGUCGCAUUUACACCAUCGAUAUAUUCUUUGAGUUACUUAAAACAAAUAACGGAUCCUAAAUCCUAGAGCCUAUGGGCCUCCCCGAGUCGGGGACUGUUAUUUGAUAAAAAGAUCGGAUAGCUCGGGCUAUCAAAUCCCCAAGUCACCAAGCCUAUUAGGCAGGGACCUAACAUGAAAGGCUAUGGCCAACUCAAAACGGUUCGGAGAUGUCCAAGUCCGUACUCAUAAAGUAAGGUCCUUACAUAAGACUAAAACCUAUUUAAAAGGUUUCCCUAGGUAAAACACCAUCGUGUACAAUUGUAAGAUUCAAGUAUUUGAGGUCUUAGUUUUCUAUCAAGUAUUUCGAAGCCUAAGAAACUUAGAGUUGUUAUAAAGACACAAUAAAACGACCUCAAAAUAAACAAAAAGAAAUGUGCUAAAGAAAACGAAGAAUAAGCUAAGGCAUCUUUGCCUAGUCUUCACCAGAGCCUGAUUCAGUACCAGAACCCUCGUGCUCAUAUAACUCUUUAGCCUUGGCCUCAAGUCUCUUGUCCUCUUCAAUCUCCAUCGACAGAUCGAACCCCCAGGUGUGAAUCUCCUCAAGGGUCUCCCUUUGGUAUAACCACUUUAUGUACUCGACCUUUGUUAUUAAGCAAUCCUCAGUUAUUUCCACAUUAUUUUUAUAUUGGGCCAGCAUCUCCUCGACCUCAGAGGAAUCGGUUGAAGUUGCCUCUAACUUGGACUUCAACGCGGUAUACUCCCUGCCGAGGUCGUCCCGCUCCAAAACUAUCAAACCUAUUUGUGCUCAAAGCAUAUCUUUUUGCCGAGACCACUUGUCGGCCUUAUCCUUCAUCACCCGGAGUUGGUCCUUGACUGAUGCCAGCUCCUCUUUGGUAGCCUCAUUUACCGAGGCCAGAAGGUCCAUCCUACUUCUCAACAUCUCGGCUGAAGCUUUGAGUUCGUUCAUCUUGGCACAGAGCUGGUCAAUCAGGUCUAUCUUCUCUUGGACCUGCGAGGUUGCAUUUUUAGCUACUACUCUUAAUCUCUCAUUUUUAAUCACAAAUAUUCUUGCCUUCUCGACUAGUUUGGCAUGAUCCCAUUUCAUGGACGAAGCCUCCUUUUUAUCUUUUUCCAGCUCAGCUUGGAGAAUAGGGAGAUCCUUGUGGGCCUCAUCUUAUUGCUCGCUGAGAGCCUUGUACAUGUCCUUUUGCCGGACUUGCUCCUUGAUCUCGAACUCGAGUUGCCUGACUUCUAUCCAAGACCGAUGGAAGCUUUCAUGAUGGAGCAUCAAAGCCUGAAAAACAAAUACAUGAGAUCGUGAAGAUACAAUGAAGUUAAAUGAGCUACACGAAGGACAAAAAAAAAAGGAAACUUACCUAGUUUAGUGCCUGUUUUGCCUCGUUGAAGAGGCUCAGAGUGCUAACCUCAUUCAUCUUUGCCUGAUCCUCUUAAGUCACCAAGAAGAAAAGAUAAUUUGACACACUAACCGGUUCAGAAAGCACCCGGGUAUCCCUUGGGAUCAUAUACACGAUCGCUCUUUUUCGGCCGGGAUCCACGCUCGAAACCGAAAACCGCUUCACUAGUAUCGGGCUCAAGCUUGGCCCGUCUACUUUCGCGACACAUAUUUUUUUGGGAUCUCCAUGUGACCGAACCCGGAGUAAUCAUCCAAAACGCCAAUGUCCAAUUCCCCUCAAAGAACAAGUUAAGGGUCUCUUCUACGACCCGUGCCUUCUCGUUUGGUUUCUCCUUUGCAGCGUGAGCCUUGUCGAAUAAGGACUCUAUAUGAGAUGACAAUUCUAUGAUGUCAAUGUCACUGAUGGCUUCCAUCGGAGCGGGGGUAGCUUCUCGGGAGGCCGUAGCCACUGGUUUUCCUUCUGGCUCCCGAGCCAAAGAGGUGUCGACCUCUCGGCCACUUCCCCCCGAUUGACGCCCGCUAUUCUUCAUCAAUGGCCUCCCCGCAGGUGUCAAACUCCAGGUCAUCAUCUUCAGGAUAGUCUUUGAGCCGGUAGAGAGUGUUGAUGACCAAUUUUAACCCUCCCUUUUAAAAUUAAUUUAUUUAUAAUUAAUAAUUUACAGUAAAUAUUUUGAAAUUAUUUUGUAUCAAUAAUUAUCUAAUUUUUACAAAAAUUAGUUAAAUAUUAGUAUUGAAAUUCAAACCUAGUAUUAGUACUACGUAAUUACAAAUAUACUCAUUAUACUAUUGAAAUGAUUUUAAAAUACAUUAUAGACGUUUUAAAUUAAUUUAACAAAUUAUUUCUCAAAUUUUGAUUAAUUAGAUUACUAUGUUGAUAGUUUAAAACUAGUGUUAUAAUUUAGAAAUAAAAUAAAAUAUUUUACAACUAAUUAAUUAUAAUAAUUAGAAGUAAAUUUGAUAUUUAUAACUUUUAUUAUAUUUUAUUGAAAAUAAUUAAGUUUAAUUAAAUUAAUUUUAAAGGGGUUAGAAAACUAAAAGGCUUCAAUUGUAGUUCUUCAAUUAAACACAAAGUGGCUAUUCUUUAAAUCAACAACAUCCCAAUACCCAGACCUAAUGCCAUCUGACCCUGUCCAAACCUGCCCCUCUCUUUCCACUAUGGCAAUCCAUGACAAUCCCUGUGAGCUAAUAGCAGUGCGCCACGUCAUCCAUCUCACUCACUCACAAAAGAAUUACACUCAAUCCUACCCAUCGACCCAUACCAUCAAAGGACUGGAUUUUUUUUUCUCGCUUUUUCCCUUAUUUUUAAAACCCCUAUCAAAUUUUAUUUCAGCCGUUUGAUUACAAGAAUCCAAUGACCACCAUUUUUUCUCAUUAAAUCCUUUUAUUAAUUAUAAAUCUUCAAAUAAUCGGAGCCAUAGAUCAAAAGAUCUAACAUAUCCCCUUCCAUCUCUCACUCUUAACCCUAGGAGACCCACCCCAAAGCCACUAACUAUAAUUCAUUUACCACCUUCCCUGCCGCCUCUCUCUCUCUCUCUUUCCUCUCCCUUUUCUCUCAGACCCAUCACACAAAUCAAUCAAGAGAACCUUGCACAAAUUUGUGCAAGGUCUUAGAUCACCUAGAAUUAAACAUGAAACAUCAAAUCCUCAGAUUUCUCUCGUGUUAUAUAAAAUCAAAGCAUAUGUCGCGCCUCCUUUUUUUCCCUCCGUGGAGAGAGGUCCGGGUUCCGACAUUCAUGGGGGUAAUAACUCAUUUCCUUUUGGGAAUUGGGUAUUUGAAGAGUCGCCACCUAACGGAUUAUGGUGCGUUAGGGCACCUAGAGCAAUUAACUCUUAGACUAGUUUGCAUUACCAAAGAUUAGGGUAAGGGCUCGAAAUGACCUCGAGGGGAAGGUGUUAGGCACCUCUCUCAAUCCACAACUGUGGGUCCCGACCAAACUUAUACUCAUGAAUUAGUCCAUUAAAUAGUUGAAUCAAACAAUUUACAAGUAAAGCACGUUGGAUGUUGUAUAACUCAAAUAGUAAGACAAAGGUUUUGAACAAGUUGUAUACAUAAAGGAAAAUUUAAAACACAAGGAAUUUGGGAAAGGAGGGGUCCUAGGUUGGUUAGCCUACAGGAUCACCCCAUACAAUGUCCGAUAAAUACUCCUCAAUGAGGAGCUAUACGUCACAUUAGCACAUAGUCAUCAUAUCCCAUAUAUACCCUCCCCACCCCCUUAGUGGUUAUUAAAGCGAGUGUUGGUCAGCGAUCUCUAUUGCGUGUUGUUACCCGUCCCUUCUUAAUGGUCCUGGAGGAAAUUUAGGACCUCUACUUAUAGGUAGUUCUAGACAGACCCCUAAGGUUUAAAGGAAAAAUACUAAGGCGACAAGCAAUAACACAUAGGACUCUUAGCAAAUAAGAACAGGAAGGAGCAAACAAAAGGCUCAGUUUACCUCUACAAAUAAGGCAUGGAAACAUCACGACUCAAACAUAUAUAAGGGCAACAAUAUCAUAAGACAUGAUGUCUAGGUGAGUAUCAGAACACAGUAGAUAUGCAGGUUCAUUUUGUAACUCAGAAGCAAAGGCCCUAAUCAGUUUGCCUACUGAUUCUAAGCCUGUUAAUCAUUAAGAAGUACACACAAAGGGUAAGGGGCAGUUUCCAAUUUUAUAAGAAAUUGGGAUUACAUAAGGCUUGCCUAGGUGUAGGAUAAUGCAUAAUUAUUACCAGAACCAUUAGAACAAUGAAAGAGUUAUUUACUUAAAAGCAUAUCCUUGACCUUCCGGCACUAGGCAGGUGUCAGCCCCCAUACAUGGUCUUACGACUUUGCGGAGACCUGUGUUUUUGGUAAACAGUCGCCCGGGCUUGGUCACUGCAACCCCCUUUGUGAGGAGGCACCCCUUCUCCCGAAGUUACGGGGCUAUUUUGCCAAGUUCCUUAAAGAGAGUUGUCUCGCGCCCCUAGGUAUUCUCUACCUACCCAUCUGUGUCGGUUUCGGGUACAGGUACCCUCUUGCUCAAAGUCGUUCGAGCUUUUCCUGGGAGUAUGGCAUGGGUUACUUCAGCGCCGUAGCGCCUGGUAUUCGAACAUUGGCUCGAGGCAUUUUCUCUACCCCUUCUUACCCUGACAAAGCAGGGACACCUUACGUUCUUGAACCGAUAACCAUCUUUU
rnacentral:lncRNA from 1 species